GGUUAAGGUAACUUUUCUUUUCUUUCUUUUUUAAAGAUUCGCCCUGAACUAACAUCUGUUGCCAAUCUUUUUUCUUCUUCUUCUUCUUCUUCUCCCCAAAGCCCCCCCAGUACAUAGUUGUAUAUUCUAGUUGUAGGUCCUUCUGGUUGUGCUAUGUGGGACGCCGCCUCAGCACGGCUUGGUGAGCGGUGCUAGGUCUGCACCCAGGAUCCCUGCUGGUGAAACCCUGGGCGGCUGGAGCGGAGAGCGGAGAGCGGGAACUUCGCUACUGGGCCUUGGAGAUGGCCCCAAGCAGCUUCUCUCCAUUUCUUCUGAAUCAAUCUCUAAAGUUCUACUGGAAAUACAUUCUCGGGAUCCACUGGAGCUGGGCUUAUGAAAUACCCAGAGGGAUAGCUGAUGGCUCUCAACUCAUCAGAACUCAGGCCUAU
rnacentral:lncRNA from 1 species